rnacentral:rRNA from 1 species
GUCCACGCCGUAAACGAUGAUAACUAGCUGUCCGGGCACUUGGUGCUUGGGUGGCGCAGCUAACGCAUUAAGUUAUUCGCCUGGGGAGUACGGCCGCAAGGUUAAACUCAAAGAAAUUGACGGGGGCCUGCACAAGCGGUGGAGCAUGUGGUUUAAUUCGAAGCAACGCGCAGAACCUUACCAACGUUUGACAUCCCUAGUAUGGAUCGUGGAGACACUUUCCUUCAGUUCGGCUGGCUAGGUGACAGGUGCUGCAUGGCUGUCGU